rnacentral:lncRNA from 1 species
UAACAACAUUAAACUGUAUGUGCGCAGAGUCUUCAUCAUGGACAACUGCGAAGAGUUGAUUCCAGAAUAUCUUAGCUUUGUUAAGGGUAUUGUGGAUUCNGAGGACCUUCCUCUUAACAUUUCUAGAGAAAUGCUGCAGCAAAACAAGAUUUUGAAGGUCAUCCGCAAGAACUUGGUUAAGAAGUGCAUCGAGCUUUUCUUUGAAAUUGCUGAGAACAAGGAAGAUUAUAACAAGUUCUACGAAGCAUUCUCUAAGAACCUUAAAUUGGGUAUCCAUGAGGAUUCCCAGAACAAGUCAAAGCUUGCUGAAUUGUUGAGGUAUCACUCGACCAAGAGUGGUGAUGAGAUGACUAGCCUGAAGGACUAUGUUACCAGGAUGAAGGAAGGACAGAGUGACAUCUACUACAUUACUGGUGAAAGCAGGAAAGCUGUGGAGAAUUCCCCCUUCUUGGAAAGGCUGAANAAGAAGGGAUANGAGGUNCUUUUCAUGGUUGAUGCUAUUGAUGAAUAUGCCGUUGGUCAGCUUAAGGAAUUNGAGGGAAAGAAGUUGGUGUCUGCUACUAAAGAAG